GACGAACCGAGCGAACGUUAUUCGGAAUCACUGGGCUUAAAGGGUGCGUAGGCGGGCACGCGAGUCAGGGGUGAAAUCCCACGGCCCAACCGUGGAAGUGCCUCUGAUACCGCGAGCCUCGAGGGGGAUAGGGGCGUGCGGAACUUCCGGUGGAGCGGUGAAAUGCGUAGAUAUACGGAAGGAACACCGGUGGCGAAAGCGGCGCGCUGGAUCCCUACUGACGCUGAGGCACGAAAGCCAGGGGAGCAAACGGG
rnacentral:rRNA from 1 species